GGAUUUGCCUGAGGAUUUUUGAUCCAAUAUUCAUGGGCGAGAGGCCUAUGAGUUUCAUUUCCUGCAUGUCCUUGCUAGUUUGGGAGCUUGGCUGGUCUCACUUGUCCCUGCAGACGGUGGCCACAGUCAUCUGAGAAGUGCUCUGGAAAGGGACACCCCGGUCCCAGGCUUGGAGGUCUCCGCUCCAUGGUGUGCUCCCUGUGGAUGCAACUGCAGCAACUGUGAGACCAUGAGGACAAACAGUAAUGAAGACAGAGUAGGAAGCUACAAAGACACUGGACCAUCGAUGGCUGUCCUGGGGUGCGCAUCAGCCCCUGCCACCCUCUGUACAUGAGAAAGAUGACCCCGCAUGUGGAGCUCCACCACACAUCUGUGGGAUUCCUUCUUAUGCAGCCAACUUCAACCCCUAAGUGACACAGCAUAAAAUAAUGCUGACUCACUUUAUUAGAAAGCUGCUCUCUGUUUAGUUCUCUUCCAAGCUUUGUUUACAUCAGGUAGUCUUAGAUUCAGGGUUGGUAGGUCUUGAACACCUCCGUAUACUUGCUAUUCUCUUUUUUUAAUAAAGCAAUAGCAGGCCUUGGGCUCCGAGCCUCCCCCGGGGCUACAGCAUCCAACUAGAAUUUAAUAACAUUGUUUUCUUUCCACUGAAUUUAUUUUUAUGAUUAUGAAUUCUAUUUAUGGCAAGGGAGACUUGUUUCCCAUUUGUGUAGUGCUAUAAAGCUUCCUCUUUAAAUAAAUGUAUUUAAGUUUUUAAGAACUGGAUUGAUUUAGAGAGAAGCAGGAAGAAAUCAAGGUGGUGGGGGUCGGAGGAGGGUGGACACUACCCUGGGCAGGACAGCGGCUGAGGCUCUGGCUGGGCCUAGGCUCCGGGUUUGUCCCCAGGGCUGGGCGGUGGUGUGGAGCUAUGGGUGGGGGCAGCAGUCCUGCUCUCCGAGCCAGUAACUCAAAGUCCCAGGUUGCUGCCAGCCCGGUGUGCAGCGACUUCAGAAGCUGGGUUCCCAAGCUGCGGUGACCUUUCGCUAAUUAGCCAGCUCCUCGCUCUGCAGCCGCCGGCUGAUUUCGGACCACAGCUCCACAGGCCUGUCACCUCCAGGCAGAUAACUGACCACGUC
rnacentral:lncRNA from 1 species